AGCGUUUUGCAUGGCUUGAUGGAGAAAGGUCAGAGAUGUGCCAUUGCCCUGUGAGCACCAUGGGCAGGGAGUUGGAGCACAUGCACAGGUUCAGAGAAGAGGGCAAGAGACAGCCCUCAGUGCUGCUUGGUCUUUAUGCUUCUCUGUGGCAGGAAAAGGACACAGAAAUUGCCUGUUCCUAAUCUGGAUGAUCCAGUCAGGCUUUAUAUUUUGAGUCUGGCAGCAUGUUAGUUGCCCCAGCAAAAUGUGGCUGCUCCACAAGAAUAGAGGCCCUGCAGAGGAGGCAGUGCCAGGAGUGCCUGAGAGAGAGGUUGAUCAUGUCAGUGUAAUGCAAGAUGAGAAUUCUUACUUACUGGAGGACCAGGUGGACCAGAUUGGCUUGGAAACCUCACAUUUUACAUAGUGCCCUAAAAACAUGGCUUAGAAACUAGAAGAGAGGGAGCUGCUUUGGGUAAUGCAAUUAGUAA